GGGAAUGCGAGCUACACAUGCAGUCGAGCGGAACGACACUAACAAUCCUUCGGGUGCGUUAAUGGGCGUCGAGCGGCGGACGGGUGAGUAAUGCCUAGGAAAUUGCCUUGAUGUGGGGGAUAACCAUUGGAAACGAUGGCUAAUACCGCAUAAUGCCUACGGGCCAAAGAGGGGGACCUUCGGGCCUCUCGCGUCAAGAUAUGCCUAGGUGGGAUUAGCUAGUUGGUGAGGUAAUGGCUCACCAAGGCGACGAUCCCUAGCUGGUCUGAGAGGAUGAUCAGCCACACUGGAACUGAGACACGGUCCAGACUCCUACGGGAGGCAGCAGUGGGGAAUAUUGCACAAUGGGCGAAAGCCUGAUGCAGCCAUGCCGCGUGUAUGAAGAAGGCCUUCGGGUUGUAAAGUACUUUCAGUUGUGAGGAAGGGG
rnacentral:rRNA from 1 species